rnacentral:rRNA from 1 species
UACGAAGGGGGCUAGCGUUGCUCGGAAUCACUGGGCGUAAAGCGCACGUAGGCGGCUUUCUAAGUCAGAGGUGAAAUCCCGGAGCUCAACUCCGGAACUGCCUUUGAUACUGGAAAGCUUGAGUUCGGGAGAGGUGAGUGGAACUGCGAGUGUAGAGGUGAAAUUCGUAGAAUAUUCGCAAGAACACCAGUGGCGAAGGCGGCUCACUGGCCCGAUACUGACGCUGAGGUGCGAAAGCGUGGGGAGCAAACAGGAUUGAGAU